rnacentral:rRNA from 1 species
ACGCUCGACACCUACGGGAAGCAGCAGUCGGGAAUAUUGCGCAAUGGAGGAAACUCUGACGCAGUGACGCCGCGUGCAGGAAGAAGGUUUUCGGAUUGUAAACUGCUUUAGACAGGGAAGAACAAAUGACAGUACCUGUAGAAUAAGCUCCGGCUAACUACGUGUCAGCAGCCGCGGUAAUCUGAGCGGGCUGGCAAGGC